GCGGCAGGCUUACACAUGCCAGUCGUGGGGCAGCAUGACUGUAGCAAUCAGUUGAUGGCGACCGGCAAACGGGUGCGGAACACGUACGCAAUCUACCCAGAACUGGUGAAUAGCCCUCCGAAAGGAGGAUUAAUACACCGUAACAUAAUAGAGUGGCAUCACUUUGUUAUUAAAGCUCCGGCGGUUUUGGAUGAGCGUGCGCCCCAUUAGGUAGUUGGUUGAGGUAAUGGCUCACCAAGCCUGCGAUGGGUAACUGGUGUGAGAGCACGACCAGUCACACGGGCACUGAGACACGGGCCCGACUCCUACGGGAGGCAGCAGUAAGGAAUAUUGGUCAAUGGACGCAAGUCUGAACCAGCCAUGCCGCGUGGAGGAUGAAGGCCCUCUGGGUUGUAAACUUCUUUUAUGGGGGACGAAAUCACUUAUUCUUAAGUGUCUGACGGUACCCCAGGAAUAAGCACCGGCUAACUUCGUGCCAGCAGCCGCGGUAAU
rnacentral:rRNA from 1 species